AAACUGGCGUGGCUAAUGCGGUAUUAUAUAGAGAAGCUUUAUAGGAGGUAGGUAAGUGUAUUGCGACCACUGCGUGGCUUGCGAUGAUUCCUGAGCACUACUAAAUAUACGUACAAGGUCCUAAACUGUUCAAUUCAUAAAAUUCAGUGCUUGUGUGAUCGGAAGGAGAAAUGCACUGCUGGAAGCCUCUAUUUCUUUGUGUAACAUGGUUGCCUUGCCUAUACAGCGAAGCAUGUACAGGGUCAUGUCUCGUGGAAUGGUGUCCAAGUGUUGAAAGUAUGCUUAACAAUUCUUCGUUAUCAGCACAAGCAAUUGACCCAGAAGCUGACCAACAUUCGUGCGCAGUGCUGUGGUGCCCAUCGGUAAAGAGCUCGAGCAAAAAUGAAUGGAUUUGUCUUGGAGGCAUAGAUCCUGAGCUACUGCCAGAAGCACCUAAAACUAUGGAUGUUGCAGCACCACCGGAAGAUUACCGAAAUGCGCCAGAGUCUCAACCACCGC